AUUGAACGCUGGCGGCAUGCCUUACACAUGCAAGUCGAACGGCAGCACGGGAGCAAUCCUGGUGGCGAGUGGCGAACGGGUGAGUAAUAUAUCGGAACGUGCCCAGUCGUGGGGAUAACGUAGCGAAAGCUACGCUAAUACCGCAUACGAUCUAUGGAUGAAAGCGGGGGAUCGCAAGACCUCGCGCGAUUGGAGCGGCCGAUAUCAGAUUAGGUAGUUGGUGAGGUAAAGGCUCACCAAGCCGACGAUCUGUAGCUGGUCUGAGAGGACGACCAGCCACACUGGGACUGAGACACGGCCCAGACUCCUACGGGAGCAGCAGUGGGGAAUUUUGGACAAUGGGCGCAAGCCUG
rnacentral:rRNA from 1 species